AAUCCUACGGGAGGCAGCAGUGGGGAAUAUUGCACAAUGGGGGAAACCCUGAUGCAGCGACGCCGCGUGAGUGAAGAAGUAAUUCGUUACGUAAAGCUCUAUCAGCAGUGAAUUGACGGUACCUGCAAAGGAAGCACCGGCUAACUCCGUGCCAGCAGCCGCGGUAAUACGGAGGGUGCGAGCGUUAAUCGGAAUUACUGGGCGUAAAGCGCUCGUAGGCGGUAUGUCAAGUCAAGGGUGAAAUCCCCGCGCUCAACGUGGGAACUGCCUUUGAAACUGGCAA
rnacentral:rRNA from 1 species